rnacentral:rRNA from 1 species
GGCGAACGCUGGCGGCAUGCCUAAUAUAUGCAAGUCGAGAGAACAGAUGAAGUGCUUGCACUUCUGACGUUAGCGGCGAACGGGUGAGUAACACGUAAGGAAUCUACCUAUAAGCGGGGGAUAACAUUCGGAAACGGGUGCUAAUACCGCAUAAUAUCUUCUUCCGCAUGGAAGAAGAUUGAAAGACGGCUCUGCUGUCACUUAUAGAUGACCUUGCGGUGCAUUAGUUAGUUGGUGGGGUAACGGCCUACCAAGACGAUGAUGCAUAGCCGACCUGAGGGGGUGAUCGGCCACAUUGGGACUGGGACACGGCCCAAACUCCUACGGGAGGCAGCAGUAGGGAAUCUUCCGCAAUGGGCGAAAGCGUGACGGAGCAAUGCCGCGUGAGUGAAGAAGGCCUUCGGGUCGUAAAACUCUGUUAUAAGAGAAGAAUAAAUUGUAGAGUAACUGCUACAGUCUUGACGGUAUCUUAUCAGAAAGCCACGGCUAACUACGUGCCAGCCGACGCCGUAA